GAUGAACGCUAGCGGCAGGCUUAAUACAUGCAAGUCGAGGGGCAGCAUGGGUAGCAAUACCUGAUGGCGACCGGCAAACGGGUGCGGAACACGUACGCAACUUUCCCAGAACUGGUGAAUAGCCCUCCGAAAGGAGGAUUAAUACACCGUAAGAUAGGGAUGUGGCAUCACAUUUUUAUUAUAGCUCCGGCGGUUUUGGAUGGGCGUGCGCCUGUUUAGGUAGUUGGCGGGGUAACGGCCCACCAAGCCUACGAUCAGUAACUGGUGUGAGAGCACGACCAGUCACACGGGCACUGAGACACGGGCCCGACUCCUACGGGAGGCAGCAGUAAGGAAUAUUGGUCAAUGGACGCAAGUCUGAACCAGCCAUGCCGCGUGAAGGAUGAAGGCCCUCUGGGUUGUAAACUUCUUUUAUCUGGGACGAAAAAGGGGCAUUCUUGCUCAACUGACGGUACCAGAGGAAUAAGCACCGGCUAACUCCGUGCCAGCCGCCGCCGUAAAAC
rnacentral:rRNA from 1 species